rnacentral:rRNA from 1 species
AUUGAACGCUGGCGGCAGGCCUAACACAUGCAAGUCGAACGAGUGGCGGACGGGUGAGUAAUGUCUGGGAAACUGCCUGAUGGAGGGGGAUAACUACUGGAAACGGUAGCUAAUACCGCAUACCAUCAGAUGUGCCCAGAUGGGAUUAGCUAGUAGGUGGGGUAACGGCUCACCUAGGCGACGAUCCGUAACUGGUCUGAGAGGAUGAUCAGCCACACUGGAACUGAGACACGGUCCAGACUCCUACGGGAGGCAGCAGUGGGGAAUAUUGGACAAUGGGCGAAAGCCUGAUCCAGCCAUGCCGCGUGUGUGAAGAAGGUCUUCGGGUUGUAAAGCACUUUAAGCUGGGAGGCGUUACCCGCAGAAGAAGCACCGGCUAACUUCGUGCCAGCAGCCGCGGUAAUUC